AAAAUAUGCAUUAAGCUAUAAAUGCACUUAUGUUCUUUACAUCAUUUAAAACAAGACUGUAUUCAAAACUAAA